GAGGGUAUAGCUCAGUGGCAGAGCACAUGCUUAGCAUGCACGAGGUCCUGGGUUCAAUCCCCAGUACCUCCA
rnacentral:tRNA from 1 species